rnacentral:tRNA from 1 species
GGGAGACCUAAUUCAGGUAGGAGACGAAAAAAAAGUAGUCGCUACCAAGAAUCAAUCCCAAAAGGUCGGAGCGAGGCGAAAUUGGCUUUCAAACUAGGUUCUGGGUUCAAACAAGACCUGAAUCAGGAACAAGGGCUAUUAGCUCAGGUGGUUAGAGCGCACCCCUGAUAAGGGUGAGGUCCCUGGUUCGAGUCCAGGAUGGCCCACCUGUACAGGUGGCAAAAAGAAAGAAAAGAAGCGAGGAAUCAGCACCUUAUCUUACUUAUAUAGUAAGAGAGAAUGCUGGCUCUGAGUAAAGAGUCCAGAGGAACCUUGAAAACUGCAUAGAGCUAGGUGAAAAAGCCAAAAAAGAAGACCGCAAGGUCAAGCUAAUAAGGGCUAACGGUG